GGGGAUGUUCUGGUUUUGACAGCGCAUGACAUUGGACGGUAAGCACGCCGGGCGUCGGAGACUUGCCCGUUAAUCUCAGUUUCCAGACAAUUAGUUGGCAACAACAAUUACGCACUCGCUGCCUAAUCUGCCAAGCAGUUUAGCUUAAUCGGUGCCGCCAAGGCUGCGGCUCCGACGAGUAUCCCUCCGGGCUUCAGGCCGGUCAUGUCCGGAAUAUGGGGUAUCAUCCAGACCGGAUGCACAGGAGGACUCCUUUAAAUCCUGCCAAGACAUAAAGGAUAAGCACAUGAUAGCCUGUCUCCCGGCAGUCAUGUGACGACAACCAAAGAGAGACUAAGCGUGUAGAAAGCUGCCUGGUGCGGCGUUUGGACGGCGGUUCGAGUCCGCCCAUCUCCACAC
rnacentral:tmRNA from 1 species